GACAGCUGGUAGAAGUGAUGGAGUCAACGGAAAAUGACUACUUCCAAUCACAUGGCAAGCCAAUGUGGGAUGUACAUAGGUGUUCCAGUUCUCCUGUCCCCCAGGAAGCAGGUCCUAAGCAUCUCCUGGGGAAAUCAAGUCAGGGAAGAAAUGACAUGGCCCUCAGAAGAACAAAGAAUAUGUCUCAGAAGCAGG